rnacentral:rRNA from 1 species
UACGUAGGGGGCUAGCGUUGUCCGGAAUCAUUGGGCGUAAAGCGCGUGUAGGCGGCCCGGUAAGUCCGCUGUGAAAGUCAAGGGCUUAACCCUUGAAUGCCGGUGGAUACUGCCGGGCUAGAGUCCGGAAGAGGCGAGUGGAAUUCCUGGUGUAGCGGUGAAAUGCGCAGAUAUCAGGAGAACACCGUAUGGCGAAGGCAGCUCUGGCGG